AAUUAGGGGGGAGAGGCCCCCUUUUUAUAGAUACAUGGAGUAAAUCAUGGCCAUCGGAUUAAAAACAGUUUGGACGCUCAGGAUUGCGCCACGUCAUCAGUCAACAGUCCACGGUUUGACCACGCGGAUGAACAGUAACACGGUUUGACCCGACUUUGAACAGUAACGCGGUUUGACCCGGAUGAACAGUAACGCGGUUUGGUUGAAAAUAAUCAUGUGUGAUGCAUGCACCGUACGCGAGAUUUUUCGUCCACUGAUA
rnacentral:lncRNA from 1 species